UAGCUUUGAUAUUCUGAGGCUUUGUAACAUAUAGCAAGUAGCUGGAAACUAAGCUGAUUGCUUUUGGGGGCGUCAAGAGCAGUGAUGGGGUGCAGAACACACUGCACGUUGGCAUACUAUUUUAAGCUGAUGGAAACUGCAGAAGCAGGAUGGUCCCUCUCUGACUUUCUUCUGCCUUUCUCCCCUGAAGCAGGCCACAGAGAAGUCUUUAAUUUCCCUUCCCUAAAAGGAGGUCAGAAGACUCCUGUUCAUGAGGGACCCUGCCUUACGCCCAGAGGGCCCACCAGAAGCAGUUUGCUUUCAGCCAUCAAGGCCAGUGAUACACCUUCUACCUCACAGCGCCAUCCAUGUAAGAUGAGACUUGCUCCUCCUUGCCUUCUGCCAUGAUUGUGAGACCUCUCCAGCCAUGUGGAACUGUGAGUCCAGUUAAACUUCUUUCUUUUAUAAACUGCCCAGUCUUGGUUAUGU
rnacentral:lncRNA from 1 species